rnacentral:tRNA from 1 species
GCUCGCCGUCGGCCAGUUCGACGACCACGCCGCCCGGACCGGUGUGCCACCGGCCGGGCAGGUCGGCGAAGCGUUCCGGUCGCUCGGUGAGCC